GACUCUCGGCAACGGAUAUCUCGGCUCACGCAUCGAUGAAGAACGUAGCAAAAUGCGAUACUUGGUGUGAAUUGCAGAAUCCCGUGAACCAUCGAGUUUUGAACGCAAGUUGCGCCCGAAGCCAUUCGGUUGAGGGCACGUCUGCCUGGGCGUCA
rnacentral:rRNA from 11 species